GUGCCAGCAGCCGCGGUAAUACGUAGGGGGCGAGCGUUGUCCGGAGUUACUGGGCGUAAAGGGCACGCAGGCGGUGCGGCGCGUGUCGCGUGACAGCGGGUGGCUUAACUGCCCGAGGGUGCGACAGACGGCCGGACUUGAGGGCCAGAGAGGGACCUGGAAUUCCGGGUGGAGUGGUGAAAUGCGUAGAUAUCCGGAGGAACACCAAAGGCGAAGGCAGGGUCCUGGCUGGUGACUGACGCUGAGGUGCGAAAGCUAGGGGAGCGAACGGGAUUAGAUACCCCGGUAGUCC
rnacentral:rRNA from 1 species